rnacentral:rRNA from 1 species
UACAGAGGUCCCGAGCGUUUGUUCGGAUUCACUGGGCGUAAAGGGUGCGUAGGUGGCGAGGUAAGUCGGAUGUGAAAGCUCGGAGCUCAACUCCGAAAUGGCAUUGGAAACUACCUUGCUCGAGGGUUGGAGGGGGGACUGGAAUGCUUGGUGUAGCAGUGAAAUGCGUAGAUAUCAAGCGGAACACCAGUGGCGAAGGCGAGUCCCUGGACAACUCCUGACACUGAGGCACGAAAGCUAGGGGAGCAAACAGG